UACGUAGGGUGCGAGCGUUGUCCGGAAUUAUUGGGCGUAAAGAGCUCGUAGGCGGCUUGUCACGUCGGAUGUGAAAGCCCGGGGCUUAACCCCGGGUCUGCAUUCGAUACGGGCAGGCUAGAGUUCGGUAGGGGAGAUCGGAAUUCCUGGUGUAGCGGUGAAAUGCGCAGACAUCAGGAGGAACACCGGUGGCGAAGGCGGUUCUCUGGGCAUGACCUGACGCUGAGGAGCGAAAGCAUGGGGAGCGAACAGG
rnacentral:rRNA from 1 species